rnacentral:lncRNA from 1 species
GCUUCUCGACGACCACUUCAGCGGGCUUCUCGGCUUCAGAAGCAGGGGCCUCCGGUUCUGGCUCUGGCUUUGGUUCUUCUUUCGGUUCCUCAGCCUCUGGUUCGGCCUUGGCCUCCGGCACCUCGACUGCAGGCUCUUCAAGAGGCUUCUCCUCGGGCUCUGCCGCUGCUGGUGCAUCUGGGGCCGGCUUCUCGGGUGCGGCGGCUCGGGGCUUCUUCUUUGGACUCUUCGACGGGGGGUGCAGCGGGCUCAGUCUCGGCUACCGGCUCAGCGGUCGGCGCGGGAGCUGGUUCGGCUUCUGCAGGGACGGCCGGAGCUUCUGUCGGAGCCUCGAUGACCGGAGUUGUUCCCACCUGCGUGUCCAAAACCGCCACCUUUGUAAUAAUCGAGAAACGAAGAAUGCUCCAUGCUUAUAGUUCAUAGGCCCAAACUGGUUAGCUCCAUGCGUCUCCAAUAUGGAUCAGGCGAGUCUAAAUAUGCCCAUGACGUAGGUAUAUCUUCAUCUAAUCCAAGUUAUACCAAUGUCAUGGGCAUGAUCGAAAUCAUUUUAGGAUAUGGUCCGAACCAGCGUGACUUAGUCCACCCAACUGAAUUUGAGUUUUGGAUUGAAAUAUUUGGAGCUUCAUUAUGUUUGGGCUCUAAGAUCGUUCCACCGUCGGGCAGCAAAAUUUAUUGGUCAAGCUGGAUUUUUGUUGACCGGCUUAGGGUCUACCGUUAACAGCCAAAUGUAAUAAAAAAUAGUGUUCCUAGUGUUAGAAGAAAGAUAUAGCAUGCCUCCACAAAUAAUACAUGUCUACAUAUGGUAGAUCACUAAAUUGGAUACAAGUCCCCCCGCAAAUAAAUGAAUAACUAUACAUGGUACAUGUAACUCAUAUUAAAUAUAUAUUUUAUAUUAUUAUAUAUUACAUUUAUAAAAUAUUUAAGUAUACAAAAAUUGAUAAUUCUAGCAUCAUGAGAUUGUUUUAGAUUGUUGUUGAUUGCUCAAAUUAAAGCUAAAUAUGAUCACAAAGAAAAUAUAAUAUUAGAGCUAUUUAAAAUAUGAUACAAAAUUUUGUUGAAAAAAAAAAAAACGGAAUGUCUAUUUCACUUUCACAAAUUUUCUGAAAAAUAUUGGACAAAAAACUGUAAAAAUGAACGGACUAGUAACCAGGUUGCACUAAACUAACAGUGAUAUGGAAUACAAGUGGAUCUUGUUGAUUAAAAUCAACCCUGAUGCCCGACCUGUCAAAAAUUCGGACCCCGAUCGAGGCCCCACACCAGACCUCGCAAUUUUAUUAGAAGUGAACUAAAAUCCACUAGAUCUAGCCCAGUUAUUAAUAAACUAAGAUUCAGAACUUUCAGAUCUAAAUGGUUCCGUCCAGAACUCUAUCCUAUCCAAAUCCAAGACCAUAGAUCUGACUAGCGUCCAGAUAAUUCAAACCAUGAUCAAUAUGGGUGUUCCUACGUUUACAACUCUCACAAAAAUGAUGAUUUUGAAUCAAGAGGAACCGAAGACUUCCUCCCUAACUUACUUGGUGUCAACCAUCUCGUCUACAAAUUUGCCUCAAAAGGCCAGGAACUGGCUUAGCACAACUUAUCACAGAUCACCUUGUCGACUAAUUUUAAAAUUUGGAAACCAUAUAGCAAUCUAUCAGGAUCUGGUGGAUCUAUUCAGACAACUUGGAGACCAGAUCUAGGUCAAAAUUUGCAUCAUCAUCAUCUAUUUUACCUCGGUUACAUGGUAAGCUAAUAAACUGUGGCGAAAUAAAACGUAAGCGAUCUUGUGAAGAAGCUGUAAUCCAGUCCAGGGACAUGGAGACAUGUUUGUUAACGGGGGGAAAAGUAUAGAGAAGUGGAUCACCUCG